rnacentral:pre_miRNA from 1 species
GUACUACUCCCUCCGUUCGGAAUUACUCGUCCAAGAAAUGAAUGUAUCUAGAUGUAUUUUAGUUGUAGAUACAUCCAUUUUUGUGACAAGUAAUUCCGAACGGAGGAAGUAAGCU